AGGUCAAAGGAUCACUUACACAACUCCCAUUAGAGAAACAUCAGUUGACAUAUAAAUAAGAUUCCAUCUGAUAUUCUCUCGUAGGUCAAUUCAGUAAACUCAUUCUCUAAUGAGCACCCAUAUCGUUGUAUUAGUGUCGCCACAUAACUGGUUAUGAGAUCAACCAUCCUUACUUCUAAGCAUACAUAGGAUAUGCCAGUCUUACUGGUAUCAUUGAUCUCUGACUCAAUGUACCAAUGACUAAGAAUAUUUUAGGUCAGGGC
rnacentral:lncRNA from 1 species